AUUGAACGCUGGCGGAAUGCUUUACACAUGCAAGUCGAACGGCAGCACGGACUUCGGUCUGGUGGCGAGUGGCGAACGGGUGAGUAAUGUAUCGGAACGUGCCCAGUCGUGGGGGAUAACGUAGUGAAAAUUACGCUAACACCGCAUACGAUCUAUGGAUGAAAGCGGGGGAUCGCAAGACCUCGCGCGAGUGGAGCGGCCGAUAUCAGAUUAGGUAGUUGGUGGGGUAAAGGCCCACCAAGCCAACGAUCUGUAGCUGGUCUGAGAGGACGACCAGCCACACUGGAACUGAGACACGGUCCAGACUCCUACGGGAGGCAGCAGUGGGGAAUUUUGGACAAUGGGCGAAAGCCUGAUCCAGCCAUUCCGCGUGCAGGAUGAAGGCCCUCGGGUUGUAAACUGCUUUUGUACAGAACGAAAAGGUUUCUACUAAUACUAGGAGCUCAUGACGGUACUGUAAGAAUAAGCACCAGCUAACUACGUGCCAGCCGCCGCAGUAA
rnacentral:rRNA from 1 species